AUGCUGUUUUGUGUCACUGCACAGCCAGGAGAGCACAGGACACUGUCCCACACGACUGCUGUCUCAGUGCACACUGUGCUCAGGCACUGGCACACCCUUGGCUCACCACUCAAACCCAUAAAAUACAACCAAACAGGAGCUGGCCUUGGGGGGCAGCUCCCCCUGCCAGCCCAGGGCUUCACCCUGUACCACCCAGGCUGCCAGUGCCUUGCACAAUUCAGAGCCACCCCUGCCAGUGCCAAGGACGAGAGCAGAGCCAGGAGAAGGCCUCAGUCAGGCUCCUGGGGAGGGACAAUGCCCACAGCCUGGCAGGAGCAUCCUCCUGUGCCCCCGGCAUCCUGCCUGGCAUGGCUGCUCUCACCCAGCCCGGCAGCCGGCACUCUGUACCUCCCAAAAAUGGGCUCUUCCAUGGAGGGACGGCCCCAGGGGAAGCUCCAGAGAGGCUGCUGGCCCCAGCUGCCCGGGAAGAGCAGCUGGAUAAUCCCGGGGGUGGGUCAGACGGGAAUGUGGGGCUGGCAGCAGCAGUUGCUCGGCUCAGCACAGCCCCACCGGAGAGCCAGCAGCUGGAAAAGCGCUGGGGCUGAUGGCUCACAGCCCUCCCUGCUCAGGGAACAGCCUUGGCACCGAGUGCAGACCAGAAUAUUCCCUUCCCCAGUGUCUGCUGCGGCUCAGACAGCAGAUGGGACUGCUCAGACACUGCCCAGCUCCUUCUCCCCUGCUCUUGCCACGCUGUGCUCACGGAUCCCCCUGAAAACACAUGGGAACCUGGACCCCCUCUGCAGCCAGGAUGGGGGGACACCACCGAGGGCAGGGACCCCCAGCCCCGAGGGCAGGGACCCCCAGCCCACACUCCCCAGCCCUCAGGGCACUCAUCCCGUGGUGGCUGCAAGCCCAGGCCCGUGGUGCCUCAGCUGGGGAUGCAGAGCAGACGUGCAGAAGCAUUUCCAUCACAGGAUUAUUUGGAGAAAAGGGCUGACAGCUCCCCCGGUUCCAGGAGGGAAGACUCUUGGAAGAAGUCUCAAAACUCAAGGAUGUUAA
rnacentral:lncRNA from 1 species